AUGGCGGCCUUUGUGCCGGCGGCCUCCAAGCAGCGCCCGGCGCGGCGGCCAGUGCCGAUCUGCGCGGCCCCGCUUCCGCCCCGCGCCGCCGCCCCGCGCCGCCCACGGCCACGCCCACCCGCCUCGAGGCCACGCCCUCCUGCUCGAGGCCUCGCCUCCCUCAGACGACGCCCACUGAUUGGCCCCGCCCGUCUCUGGCUCCGCCCCCUCCUCGCCCCACCGACGGCGGCGGCACCGGGAGCGCCGCGCCCUCUGGCGGUAGCGCUGGGACGGCACCUCCCGGGGGCGGCGCACGGCCCGGUGCGUCCCGCUGCUCCCCGCACACCCGGAGCCCCACACGCAGCGCACCCCCUCGUCCCGCCGUGCACCCCCAGCACGGAAUCCCGGUGUUCCCUGCUGCUCCAGCGCACCGGGGAUGCCGUGCUCUUCCCCCCCGCCCAGGCUCCGCCCCCCCGAUCCCAUCGGGCGAUUCCCGGCGUUUGGGGCCGCCGCAGGACGCGGCUUUUUGGCCCCGGCCGCGCCGUUCCCACGGCAACCAGCGCUGAGCGAGCGGUAACCAUGGCGACGCACAAAGCCCCUUCCGCGCCGCCCUGGCACCGCUGCAACCCCGCACCCAUCGCCCGGCGGCACCGCAUCCCCCGGGGACAGCCCCGCACCCGGCACGGUACUGCGGGGACGGCCCUGCGGCACCGCCCGCUCCCAACCGCUCGUGUUCCCCCUCCCCCCUCCCCGUGCCCCGCGAACGGAGCUCAGCGCGCAGCGGGGAUCGCGGCCCCUCCCCGGGAUCCCCUACGGCCGCCCCCGCAGCGCCGCUCCCCCCGCACACGACGCGCUGAGCGCUGCCGCUGUGCUCCCGAGGGACAAAGGACGCGGAGUGGUCCCCGCAAACGCGUCCCGAGUGGGGACGGAGCGGUAAACACUGCCACUGCCGCCUGGGGCUGCUGCACCCAGCACUGCCCGAUAUCACCGCCCAGCAUCACCCGGUAUCACCCAGCACCUCCCAGCAUCGCCCAGCGCUGCUCCAGACCCACACAACAAACCCAAACUCUGACCACGCUGCCCCGCAGGAUGAGGGGUAAACGUGUUUGGGGUCCUUGA
rnacentral:lncRNA from 1 species